AGGUUCAGCAUAAAAUCUUUACUUAUUCAAGUUUGAAAUAGUAGAUACAUGAAAUACAUAAGAACACUUUAUUAAGCAAUUAAAUUUUUUUUAAAAAAACAACUUUAAAAGUAUACACUGAGCCUUGGGACAAAAUGCGCUUAAAAAAAAGGAUAUUAGAGAUACUGGCUGUUUAGAGUCUUAACAUAGCAUUAUCAUCUUUCUGUAGCUAACUGGUGCUGGACAAUUCUUGUGCCCGGGCCCUCCCUCCCAAGGAGAAAUACAACCUCUGCAAGCACACACAGAGUACUCACACACACCCACACACGUCGCAACACCUCAAACCAAGGGUGAGUCCAACACAGCAAACCAAGUGCAAAAGGAAAGAUUUCCCAAGGAGGAGGUAACCAGUCGGCCCAAGGGGGACACCACGUGCACCAAGUUGUUCUACAAGAAAGAGAAACAGAUUAGUAACAAUAAAUGUUAUACUUAUUAAUUUUCCAUUUAGUUUACGGCCAGUAUCACUAACAAAUAAACAGCCAGCUUCCUAUAGGAGGGCCCAAAGAGGUCUGCCACCAUUGACACAAGGUGGGGUCAAGUUAACAAAAAUACAAAUAACAAAA